CUCUCCUUAGCUCAGUUGGAAGAGCGCAAGACUGUAAUGGAAUUGUAAUCUUGAGGUCCCUGGUUCGAACCCUGGAGGGGAGA